GCCUACGGGGCGCAGCAGUGAGGAAUAUUGGUCAAUGGUCGGGAGACUGAACCAGCCAAGCCGCGUGAGGGAUGAAGGUACAGAGUAUCGUAAACCUCUUUUGUCAGGGAACAAAGGCGGGGACGUGUCCCCGGAUGAGUGUACCUGAAGAAAAAGCAUCGGCUAACUCCGUGCCAGCAGCCGCGGUAAUACGGAGGAUGCGAGCGUUAUCUGGAUUUAUUGGGUUUAAAGGGUGCGCAGGCGGUCUGUUAAGUCAGCGGUCAAAGCCUGGGGCUCAACCCCGGCCCGCCGUUGAAACUGGCAGG
rnacentral:rRNA from 1 species